UCGGUAACUACCACCCAGUACAGCUCUUAAAUGAGCUAAUACCCGGGAAUACGGUACUGGGUUACCGUUAUUUCGAAUCCUCCGAGUGACAUUCUAGUGAGGUGCAGAGUUUAUGGCUUAGUAAUUGUUGGACGAGCAUCGACGAAAAAGGCCGCCCAGAGGCAAAUAGCGAUAAAGGCACUGGCCUUUUUUUUCGGUGUUCGAUUCAACAAUUAACAAGCCAUUUAUCCUGCAUUUCCCAGAAUGUCAGCCUGAGGAUUCGCAAUAACGGUAACCCAGUACCGUAUCCCCGGUAUUAGCUCAUUUAAGAGCUGUACCGGAUGGUAGUUACCGAGAUGUUUCGGUAACUUCUUCAUCGCCUAAAAUAAGUAAUACAAUUAUAAUACACUAAAAUUGGCGAACCAAUCUGACGACGUAUUCUGCAAACGCGGGACAUCGCGUCUUCGAGAUGCAUUAAAUCAAGAACCCCCAGAAAUUCAUUAUACGACUUCCCUGCAUCAUUUAGUAAUGUUUGAAGUAUAAGCCACGACCGCACAUCAAUACAUUUUUGAUCACAGAUACCGUCCGCAAAAUGUGAAUGUAUCAGUGUGCUUAUCAAGUAUUCGUUUUCAGGACUACUAAAAUAAAAAAAAUAAAAAAAAUAUUUUUGUUAGCAUUAUUGGAAACUUUUUAAUGCCUUUACUGUAGGUUUCUAAUACAUCAUUUUCGUAUCUCUUAUAAUCAGAUACCGUUAAGCCUCUAAUUAUGUAUACUAUGUACCUAUAGUGUGGUAUCUUGUAAGUUCAUCGUAUCGAAUUGAUUAAAGUCUAGAUAGUAUGGGUUGAACAAUGAACAAUGCAUUCCAAGUACAUAUAAUUAAUUGGUUCUAAGGCAAAACUUUUAUUUUGUAUUUUCGCUGUUUUUCAUAAGUUUAUACAUGCAUAAAAAAUUAAAAUCAGACAUUCCUAAGUAUAUGUAAUUCAUCACAGCUUAUUAUUUGUAUAAAACGUAUGAAAAAUACGAGUGCUUUGAUCCCCUUAAAAGGAUCAUCAUCUAGAAAAUCCCUAGAACAAAAUUUGUCAUUCAUCGUAAAAAAGUUAUUGAUUUAGAGUUAAAAAAAACUUACACUUUAUGAUGAAGUGGUCGGACAAUUUAUUACCAAAAAUAGGAGAAUUGAUUUAGUUUAUAAGUAAAAAAAUAAUUUGUUUUGUGUUUAUUAUUUUAUUUAAACGUUCUGAAGAAUUCAACAAAUUAUUUUAGAGUU